UAGAACCCGAGCCAGUCAGUGAACCAGAGGAGGAACCAUUCAUGGAUCCUGAAGAAGAACCUGAGGAAGCCCGUGAAGAGGAUCAUGCAAUUUCGGAGUAUGCUGCGGAUAAUGUUGCACUGGCUGAGGAAGAACUGGAGGGUGAUCAGCGUAUACCUAAUCAGGUCAUGGGAGCCGUAGAGGCCGAGUUAAAGACUGUGAUGCUAGACUUGAUAGAAAGAAAACAGGGCAUGGGAGUCGUAGAGGCCGAGUUAAAGACUGUGAUACUAGACCUGAUGGAAAGAAAGGGCACGGGAGCCGUAGAGGCCGUGUUAAAGACUAUGAUGCUAGACCUGAUGGAAAGAAAUCAGCAGUGUGAAAACAAGUUGCAGGAGUUGGAAGACAAGGAGCAAGAGUUAAAAAACAAGGUGCAGCAGCUGAAGGAUAGAAAUGAGGAGCUAAAGGCUCUUUGGGAGGCAGAGACAGCUACUCGCAUUAGAAUUGAGGGAGUAGCGGCAGAACUGAUGAUAAAGAAGAGGAGGUUGGAUCAGAUACUUGAUACUUAUAGGACCAACAUGUAGGGAGACGUCUUACUAGUAAAUCUAUGAAUUGCUGCAAGGGGUUCAGAUUCGGUUCCCUAUCUUCUUUAUAUGGUUCUCGUUGCGCUCUUCUCCUUGGCGGCAUUUUUUGUUUAAUAUAACAGUGUAUUACCAUAACAUUAUCACUCUUGUGGCACAUUUAAUAAAACAUGUUUAUAUUAAUAUGCAUCAUACUAGUAUAUCUUACAUUUCAUAGCACUUGCUAUUUACAUAUUCCGUAUUAAUCUUAAAAGUUGGGAUCAACGCUCAUGUGGCACCUGGGGUUCAAUAUCCAAAUUUUCGAAUAGAAAGAGGCUCGAUUUGCGGUUGAGACAUAUUUUGAUAACGGUUCAUUCUUACGUUCUUUCUUAUCUGUGCAUUAUCAUGUUACGUGAAAGAACAAAUAUUUGCCUUUGUUUGCAAAACCAUAUGUAUGUCUGACAAACUAAAAGUAGAUAGAUUGCUGGUCAAAUCACUGGUAUAGUCUAUCUACAUCAUGAUUCAUAGUGACAAUCUGUUUGCAUGUUGUUAGUUUUGCUUGUAUGUUGGACUACCCUGUUUCUAUCAACCACUACUCUGUUUGGUUUGGCAGGAAAUUUGCAAGUCAUAUGCUUUGAGAAUUAUGGGAAGCUUCUAGAAAAUGAUUUGGAUGCUUUAAUUUAUAUUGAGGAGCACAUGAGUCUAACCUAUUAUUUGUCCAAUUAUUUUUGUUUAUCGUACUUAAUGUAUACUAUUAUUAUGCCAUAAAUGGACAGACAUAAAUACUAUGAAUGGUAAUGUCUCAUAUUAAUGAAAUUUGUAACCUUCAAAUUUAAAUCUCAAUAAAUAAUUGUUAAUAUUCUUAUUUUCUUAAAGAGUCCUAUGGGGACAUUGUUCAGCGACAUUUCUUUUUUUUUUUUUCUUAGGUUUUUUUUUUGUAGUACUUCCCAAAAAAUAUAUAGUAUUUAUUCUAAUUGAAAUUUUUAUAAAAAACAGGAGUCUGUAUAAUCUGUAUAACCAUGUUUCUUGUAUGUAUUCAAAUUACACCUAAAACACUGUUUUCUGUAAAAAUUCCCGUUGGAAUAAAUACUAUACAUUUUUUGAGAGGUACUGCAAAAAAAAAUAUAGCUAGAAAUGUGGGUGAACAAUGUCCCCCAAGACUUAUUGUUUCUUAAAAUAUACUCCAAUAAAGUCCAAAUUGAUAGGUUCUUUCAUAGUUAAUUAAAUAUCUCUAGCGAUUGUUUCUAUGACACUGAUUUCAAACGAAAUUGGUAACUAUAAAUUUUCAAAUCUUAUUUUUUUCUUAAAAGAAAAUUUUGAAACACGUGAUAAAUUUUUUAAUACUUAACUUUGUUUUGACGAUGCUGUAUUUAUGUUAUUUCUUUUUAAUACUUUAAAUUUGAAUGAUUUUAAAAAUAAUUUUAAAAUGUUUUAACGUGCGACAAAUAUGAAAGAGUUUAGUUUUUAUUGUAAUUAAUGUAUGUUUUUAUAAUGUCAUAAUUGGAUUAAUAUUAGGACACUAAAUGUGUAGUUAUUGUAUUUUAUAUAUAUAUAUAUAUAUAUAUAUAUAUAUAUAUAUAUAUAAUAUUUUAAUACACGAAUUUAUAAUGGAUUUAAGGUAGGGACAAAGUUGAAAGAGUUCAUAAUAUAUUUUGUAUUUUAAUUUAAUAUAUGAACAAAGUUGAAAGAGUUCAUAAUAUAUAUUGGAUUUAUGGUACAGUUUUUCUCUUCCACAUUGAUGUAUACUUAUUAAAUCUUAGGGCUUUGUUUUUGAAUUAUGUUUCCAUAUUUGAUCUCUUAUUUUAUUUCCUUUUUUUGAUCAGUAGAUCUUCAUUUAGAUUGUUUUAGAUGCUGUAUAUAAGUUUUGCCAAUUUCAUUUGCCACUGUUGAGCUUUUUGGAGCCUGCUCGACAAUGACUUAUAAGUUAGUCGGGUUAAAUGCUUUCCAAGUCACUGUACUAUACGUCAACUUACAACUGGAUUACUGAACUUUUUUUUCUUACAGUCAACUCACUGAACUUUAGUUUACUAACAAAAAUUUAUUUUUUUGUAACAGGCGUUAAUUUAUUGGACGGGAAUCUGACGUGUAAAACGAAGGGUCCCUUCUAAUCCUAGCUGGAGCUGACCUGUAAUGUAUUUUAACACCUAAGCCAUUGCCCACCCAUGGAAAACUAAGAUCCGACCCACCCAAUAAAGAUCCGAUCCAUCCCAACAAAUGAUUUUUGAUAAAUAACGAAUUUGAUCCAGAUCUCUUUAUUGACAUCAUCAUCUUUUAUCUCAAAUCCCUCAACUCACUCAAAUUCCAUCAGCUCAUGCGAAUCGAAGCACAAAAGAGAAGAAAGAUCGAGAAUAACAACAAUUAAAUUGAACAACAGUAGCAAAUCCAAGUCUUGCUGAUGGAUUUCCUCUCCAAUGGCGUCAAUCUCAAGCCUCUGUUAAUCUCCAUUGAAGAACAGAGAACAGAGCAGAUUGCUUUGAGAGACAACGGCAGCAGCAGAGAACAGAGCAAAGGGGUGGCGGUAAAAAUGCCUUUGACUGCCGAUCAAUCGACCGGCGAGAGGUGCAAUGCGUGAGGCUGAAGUGCGAAGGAUGCCAUUGAGAGCCAUUUUCGAAUUUAGCAGAGUGAAGGUCUAGGGUUUUAGCGAAGCUUUGAAAUACAUUUAAGGGAAAAUUAAGGGGUUUUAAUUUAUAUUAUUACCUCAGACAAAUUGCUUUUCUCGAAAAAGAGGGGAAGGAUUCCAAAGUUGAUGGCAGAUUCCAUUACGACUCGUGUAUCUAGAGGGAUUAGUGGAGACGAACAAGGGAUUGGAGCUCUUGAACAAGAAGCUUUUAUUAAUGGCUCUUUUGAGUUUCAUCCCAAUUUUGCAGCUGCUGGACUAGAAUGCACUCUCAAUCAUCUGGUUGAAAUUAUGUGAAUUUGGAAAAUUAAGGGUUUUUAAUUUAUAUUAUUAUAUUGGUAAAGAAUUAAAUAAAAAUUCAUUUGAUAUUUAUUAAAAAAAAUUAAAUAUAGUAUUUAUUUUUUUUUAUUUUUUUGACCAACUUUUCUAAUUUAUAUUAUUAUAUUUGUAAAUAAUUAAACAAAAAUUAAUUUGAUAUUAAUUACAAAAAAAUUAAAUAUAUUUUUCAUUUAUUUUCUUGUUUUUGGUAAAGUUUUCUAAUUUAUAUUAUUAUAUUUAUAAAUAAUUAAACAAAAAAUAAUUUGAUAUUAAUUACAAAAAUAACUAAAUAUAUUUUUCAUUUAAUUUCUUAUUUUUUGGCAAACUUUUUUAAUUUAUAUUAUUAUAUUUGUAAAUAAUUAAACAAAAAAUAAUUUGAUAUUAAUUACAAAAAAAAUUAAAGAUAUUUUUCAUGUAUUUUCUUAUUUUUUGGCUAAGUUUUCUAAUUUAUAUAAUUAUAUUUGUAAAGAAUUCAAUAAAAAAUAAUUUGAUAUUCAUUACAAAAAUAAUUAAAUAUAUUUUUCAUUUAUUUUUUUGUCUUUUUUGGCAAACUUUUCUAAUUUAUUUUAACAUAUGUUGCUUUAUUUACUAUUUUUUUUGACUUUAUUUUAUUUUUGAAAAAAAUCUUUCAUUUGCACUCAAAAUUGGUCACAUUAUACAUGUCAGCUUUCUCUCUCUUCCACGUAAGAAAGCCACAUGGAAUUAUUUGUGCUAUAUCAGAAUUUUUUUACACAUACGCAGCUGAUGUGGCAAAUUCCUUCUAAAGUCAACAGACUUAACGAAAAUUUUAACGUUUUGUAAGUAAACACAAGUUCAGUGAGUUGACUGUAAAAAAAAAAAAUUCAGUGACCCAUUUAUAAGUCGACCUAUAGUACAGUGACUUAGAAAGCAUUUAACCCUAAGUUAGUCAAGUCAACUUAUAAGUCAUUUGUUGUUUGACAAUAACUUAUUUUUGUACUUAUAAGUUAAUUUUUAAGUAAAAAAAAACAAGUAUUUGUAACUUAUUUUAAAAUGAUUUAUAAGUCAUUUUAAAAUAAGUUAGUUUGACCAAAUGUAAUGUUUAUUUUGACCAUCUUCUAUUUUGUAACUCUUUUUAUUAAUGUCCUUUUUAGUAAUCUUUAUAUUUGAUUUUAACUUAUAAGUCAUUAUGAGUCGAAACACUUUCAUAACUUGUUUUAACUUAAUUUUUGACUUAUAAAUCAAAUUAAUGCUGAACGCUUUUAUUUUAAGUCACAACUUAUAUUUUAAAUUUAAGUCAUUUUAAAAUAAGUCGUUGCGGAACGGACUAGGUAAAGACUUAUUUUUUAACUUAUAACUUAAUUUAUUAUUUCAAAGAAGUAAACAAUAAUUUAUAACUUAUUUAAAAAUGACUUAUAAGUCAUUUUUAAAUAAGUUAGUUUAACCAAAUAUAAUAUCUAUUUUCCCCUCUAUUUUUUAAAUUACAUCUCUACCCCUCUAACCUAAAUAACCUGAUCUCUUUAUUCACUUCUAACGUAAACACAAGUACACAACUACACAGCGGCUAAUUGGAGAUCUGCUCUCCUCUGCGCUGCCCUCGAUCCGUCAAUUUCUUGGAUUCUCCCUCUUUCCCUCUUUCCCUCUUUCCCUCUGUGGCUGUUACUACUGCUACUCCUUCGAUUGCUGCUACGCUGUUAAGUACCAAACCCUAGACCACAUGUUUGAUAUGUGUGUGUAUUAUGUUAUGUGAAUCUUUGGCAUGUGGUUUUUCUUAAAUACUCUAGUUUCAGAGCCUGUGGGUUUCGAUUCAAUUCCAUUUUUGUUAAUUUAUGUGGUUCAAAUGUUUGAUUGAUUGAAUGAAUGAUUUGUUUUAUAAUGGGUUGUGCUUAAUUAGGAAUAUGUAAGCAGCUUCAUGUUAACAAAUUUAACCUGGGCUCUGCUUAACCUGUGUAUUGUGUGAUCUAUUCACAAUUGCUGAUUGGGACUUGGGGUGAGGGGAGUGUCGAUACUGAGACAACAUAUAACAACAUAAUUGAUUUGUUUACUUCAUCCUAGCUACACAGUUUAUACCCAUUUGAUAUUUGUAGAGAAUUAUUGGUGUUCAAGAUAUUUAGGAGAAAAAUGAUUUUUUUUCUUUAUCAGUAGUUAGUUACUUGUUUGAAUUGAGGUGUUUAUUGAUGCUGAGGAGUGUAGUCUCUACUUUUCAUUAACUUUGAUUUAUAUGUUGUUUUUAAUUAGUUGGCAGUUUAUACUGUACAUGUUUGAUGAAAUUCCUCAAUGAGUAUUACCUGUAUACUGUUCAGAAUAGAAAUCACCAGUGAUGAUUAUAUCAAGUCAUGAGCUAAGUAGUGUGUCCAUAUUGAUUAAUUAAAAAGUGAAAAAGAACUUUCUAAAAAAGUGGAAAACUGGGAGCCAAGUGGAAUGAUUGACUAAGCUGCCUAAAAAUUGUUUGGAGUUGCAUAAUCUUCUGUGAGUCUAACAACAGCAAGUCUACACGUGUAUCACAGGGAUUAGGUAUAUGAACAUGUAGCUGGAACUGCAUUAACUUGAUAUGUUUAGGUAUAUGAACAUGUAGCUGGAACUACAUUAGGUAUAUGAUUGUAGUUGAUAUGUUUAGAGAAUUUGUUUAGUGUUUUAUUUAAUGAAAUUGUGGAUGAUUGUUAUGAUAUGAUAUUGAAUCAAUAUAUCUUUUUAUUAAUGUCCUUUUAGCCUUCAUAGCUUCUUUUAACUUAUUAUCCGACUUAUAAGUGAAAUUUAUGCCGAACGCUUUUACUUGUAAGUCACAACUUAAAAUAACUUAUAAGUCGACUUAUAUUUUAACUUUAAAUCAUAUUAUAAAUUGAUUUGAAAUAAGAAUGUUCAGUAAUUGAAACAUUAUGGAACGUUAUGAUUUUAUGUUGUUUUUCUAUUUGUAAUAUAUAUGACGGUUAAGCUUGCCUAUUCAGGGAAUUUUUAUCUAUAGAUGGUGAUUUAUCCAGAAUUUGAAAUCAGUGUGGUUUUGUUUGUUUUGUUGGGUUUUUGGGUUCUGUUUUCAAACACCAUAAAAAACACAGGAUGAACAGAGUUUUAGAUUUGUAUAUAAACCAGUUUAAUAUACAUUACCCAUCUAUACAUGCCACGUUGAUUGUAAGUCUUCCCCCUUACCUUCCAAGUCCAAUCUAACACUGGCUUGCUUUUGUUCAAAAUAAAUUUGCUAAACAUCAUGUAUAUUGUAAUUAAACAUAUCUUGUUUUGUCUUGUUUCGUUUUUCCGAAGUUGUAUAAGCCUUUAUACUCUAGUGGAUGUGAGUAUCUGCACUUGGUAAAAUACAGUGGAACUCGCAACAGUCAAGUAGACCAUGUAUGAUAUUGAUUAGGUUCAGUUUGAGCAGACCUUUGAGCCCUAACAUUACUCACUCUACUGACUAUGUAUAAUAUUGAUUAGGUUCAGUUUAAGCAGACAAUUCUUGUGUUUUAAAAGAAUGGAUAUUGUCAUGAAAAAAUGACUUCUAUGGGUGUAUAGAGUGAGUAAUGUUAGGGCUCAAAGAAGUUUCAUGAAUAUUUUAAUAUAAUUUAUUAAAUGACCAUUCACAAUUUAUGUAGUCAACCAAUGUAAUAAUGACAUUAUUUGAGAUCUCAUAUUUGUUGAAACCCUAGCGUUACUCACAGGGUAUACGAUUAUUUGUCUGUGCGGUUUCCAGUUCAAGCAAUAUUACUGUUGGCUCUGGACCUCUGGUUAUUAAUCAUUAAUAUUGAAUUCCCUCCAUCCCAUAUUAUUUGUCCAACUUUCCAUUUUGAAAAUCCCAAAAUGCUUGAAUUUUUCAAAUUCCUUUAUUGCUUUCAUGUGUUGCAUUAAUACAAAGGUACAAAAUUUAGAUGAAGGGGUACUAUUGGUUUACCUUAUAAGCCUGAUAUAUUGAUAUGAAGAUGAUAAAAUGCAAUUUUCUCAAGUGGCGUGUCUAUCAUUUUGUACAUUAAAUUUAGUAUGGAGGGAUUAAUAGAAAAUGUUUAUGGGAGUUAAGCAGACUACAAACAUGUAAUAGCCUAUGAACAUAUACAGAUCGGGAGGGAUUCAACAUACAAGGAGUUUCAUGUUCAAAUAGUUGUCAGGAAACAAAUUUUAAGAAAUACGGUAAUACCUUCUUUGAAGUUAAUUUGGAGAAAACCACAAUGUGGAUGAAGCUAAGGGGGACCUUGAAGCUAAGAUGAGGCAAAAUUACCCACAACUUUUUGAGUAACGUAGUAGUGAUUUCGGGGACGGAAUCCUUAUAAGGAGGGAAGAAUGUAAUAUCCGAGAAUAAUAUAGAAAGCUUUUGGGGUUAUGUAAUUAUAAUUGUAAUUUUAAUUGAGUACAAUUUAUAAUUGAGAAUGUUGUGCAAAUUAAAGUAAAUGUGUGUGUGUGUGUGUGUGUGUAUAUAUAUAUAUAUAUAUAUAUAUACGGAGCGGAUCAAGAACACUCUUCUUAAAUAGCACUCCGCCUUAAAUAGCACUCUUUUAUCAAAACGACGUAGUUUUGAAGGGACGCGGUGGCAUUUUUGUAAAUACAAUGCCACCGCGUAUUUACAAAAAUGCCACCGCGUCCCUCCAAAACUACGUCGUUUUGAUAAAAGAGUGCUAUUUAAGGCGGAGUGCUAUUUAAGGAGAGUGCUCUCCGUAUAUAUAUAUAUAUAUAUAUAUAUAUAUAUAUAUAUGGAGUUAUAUUAGCCAAACAAGAAGUCAACAAGUCAAACUUUUGUCAAGUUUUUGGUCAAGCCUAGUCAAGCCUUAUGGAAGUUUUAAAAAAGGAAAUCGGUCAAAAUCUGGCCAAAGUCAAGGCCCAUGGGGGCAACCAAGCCAGGAGGGUUUGACCAUAAGAUAACAAGUCUUGGGAGGGAGGCAAGUGAUAUUCACCAUUUUGGCCUAUAAAUACCAAGUCUUGUUUAGCUUUCCUACACUUCACAAAUUCAAUCAACAAGAGCCAAGAAAUAGAGUGGGAGAUUUCGUCAUCUAGGGGAGUAAGAAGGAGAGGUCCCAAGCUAGCAAGAUCAAAAACAAGAAUAUCCAAGAAGGAAAGACCUUUGGCCCGAGUGGUAUGACCCAACCCAUGUUAACCAUGAGGUUGGGGUUCAAUCAUUGGCAGUGGCCAAGGAGGGUGUGUCAAAUUAGCAAACAAAAAUAAAAAUAAAACCUAAAAUUAUUCUAAAUCCAAGUUUUCUUAUGAAAGUCCUUGAUCUAUGUUAAUAAACUGAUACAUGAUGGAUCUUGGUUGUAGAUACCAUCAAGGAAAAAGUUUGAAAGAACAGAAGAAGUUUAAACUUGUUUAGGUUAAAAACACUAAAACAGAACCCGAAAAUGGAACAUUAAUCCUAGUGUAUAAUGAAUUUUUGAGUGAGGUUUGUUGGGGUUGUUACUUCUUUGAGUUAUGUAAACACUGCAAAAAGAUUAAAACUUAAAUUCCUUAUAGAUUAAUUAUGGUGAUUUUUCUAUUCAAAACAGGAAACUGAUGAACUUCCUACCUUAGUAUUUUCAGUGGACAAUUUCUGAUGGUAAACUUGUUUAAUAAAUUAUGGCUUUUUGAGGGUUGAUACCUUAUGGUAUAAAGUAUGAACAAAAAUGGACUUGUGUUGAAGGAGUUUUGACCAAAACCAAAUUGGACAUUUUAAAAUUAAAAUAGCUAUAACAUGAGUUCUAUAACUCAUUUGAUGAUGAAAUUUAAAGUGGAAGUACUCUCUGAUGUUAGAGUCUACUAUCCAAAUUUCAUAAUUUUUGGAAGUAAUUUCGAAUUAUAGUAAAUAUUGUAAUUUUGGACAGAAAUGACCGUUGAAUAAAUACUAAACAGUGAUGGAAAAAUCAGAAAACAUUUAAAAUAUAAUUAACUAUGUGGGGGCCAGAAGGAUAGAAUUAAUAAAUUGGUUAAAGAGGUUUAAUGGAGAAAAUAAAGUUAAGAAAAAUUAAGAAAUUUAAUUCAAGUAAAACCAAAAAAUAUGUAAUAUAAUUUUAUCUGUUAAUAUGGAACGUAUGAGCUUAAGUGUUAAUUGGUGAGGUCUAGAAAUGGUACGAGGGGAUGCUCGAGAUUGAGUUUACGUUAAAAGAAAUUAUUGAAACGGGUUUAGGAGUAAUUAUCAUUGGUAACUAUUAAUAAUAAUAGUUAAGUUAAUUGAAUUAAUAUUUAUUGAUAUUGUAGGUGAUCAUUUUGAAGGAAGUUAGUAACAUAACAAGGGAGAUAUACACAAUCCAGGCAAGUUUCCGCACUUAUGUGCAUUUACAAAUUGUUCGAUUAUCGAACUGUGUUUUAUUCAUUAAAUUUCUUGUUAUUUCAUGAACUGUUUUGAAAAAUAAGUCUUGUGUUAUUUGUUUUGGCUAGACACAGUCGGUUUGAUAUGUUAUAUUAUUGAAUUGUUAAUAAUUCUUUGGAGAUAUUUAAAUCUAAUCCAAAUUGUUUUGGUGUGGGGUCUGGUGUUAUAACUGAGUAGAACAACCCUAGAAAUAUGGGAUAUUGUGUUGUGGUCGGGUAACUGACAUGCGUUGUCAAAAAUACAGUGCGGAGAUGAUAUUACGCAUAACAUGGUAUGUCAUUGGGUUGAUCCCCUAAUGAUACUCUUUAGAGAGUUCACAUUCUGUGAUUGUUGAACAGUUUUGGAGAGUUCUGAUGAACAAAUUUUAUUAGUUCAUGGUUCUUUUUGACCACUCAGUUGUCAUUCGAAUGAUUUUAAAUCAUGUUAAGUUUUUGAGAUUACAAGUUCCUAUCUUGUGAAAAUGUUAUUGAACUCUUAUUUGUUCGUUCAUUUGAAAUGUUAUUUAGCGAAUAUAAUAAAAAUGUUUUUAUUGUAUUAUUUAUACUUGUUGAGCAAUGUAGUUUUUCACUCUUGCUAUAUCAAAUGUUUUUCAACUAAAGCAAUUCCCGAAGGGUUGGGAAAAGAUUAGGGAAAAAGAAAGGCUAAAGACUAAUAUGUAAUUGAUAUAUAUUAGAGCUUUAUUAUUAUUAAAUGGUGUAAUAUUUUUGAAAUAGUUUAUUAUAUUUUGUUUAAGUUGUAAUAGUUAGUAAGGUUAAGAACCUAGGAGGACUAUAAGGUGGUGUUUGUUUGCCUUUUAAUUCACCUGCUUUUGAUUCGGUCAGAGACAAAUCUUGUUUGAUAAAAAAUUUUUGCCUCUUAAUAAUUCUUAAUCGUUAAGACAAACUCAAACCUUAAUUAUUAAGAGCUGCCUCUUAAUAGUUUAUUUAAAAUUUAUGGACAAAAAUAGCCUCAAUAAAUAUUGUACUCCUUCAAUUUCAAAUUUCAAAUUUUAAGAUCAUUCAAAUAAAAAUUUUAAAUAACUCAAAGGGUUAAAAUGGAAAAAUAGUGUUAUUAAGAUUCUUUACACUUUUUAGUAAUCAAACAAUAUUUUAGAUUCACAUAUUAUUUCAUUCGGAUGAUCUAAUUUAUUAUAAUGUAUUAAUCAUUUAGAUCUUAAUUACUCAGUUUUAUCAAACACGUAAGACAUGUUAUGUAAAUUAUUGUAUUUAUUUUUGUCUUUUUAAGUUUAUGUUAUCAGAUAGAUGUGGAUGAUGAUGAAUAGUGAGCACCAUAUCUGUUGUUUUGAGACAAGUUGAUAUCAGAGUUAUAGGGUACAACCCUUAGGUUGCAAAACCUUGGGAUAUAAUCAGAUGAAAAAUAACAAUGAUAUGUGAACUCUCAUAGAUUUCUUAAGUAAUAAGAGAUGAAUUGCUCAUUCAUCAUGUUUAUUAAACUAAAUGUUAUGUGGAAGUUAAUCAAGUUAUAUUAUAUGUUAUAUUAUGAUGUGAAUUAAGUUUGUUAUCUUAUCCUAUUGUAGGAUGGCCAGCGAGGAAGAAAUUAGCGACAGUUAUGAGGUACCUAGACCUGUGCCAACAGUAGUACCCGAGCCAAUCAGUGAACCAGAAGAGGAACCAUUCAUGGAUCCUGAAGAAGAACUUGAGGAAACUCGUGAAGAGGAUCAAGCAAUUUCGGAUGAUGUUGCACUGGCUGAGGAAGAACUGGAGGGUGAUCAGCGGUACCUGAUCAGGGUAUGAGAGUCGUAAAGCCUGAGUUAAAGACUGCGAUACUAGACCUGAUGAAAAGAAAUCAGCAGUUAGAAAAGAAGUUGCAGGAGUUAGAAAGAACACGGCAGUUACAAAACAAGCAGGAGUUAGAAAAAAAUCAGCAGUUAAAAAACAAGUUGCAGGAGUUAAAAAACAAGGUGCAGCAGGUGAAGGAUAGAAAAGAGGAGAUAAAGGCUCUUCGAAACAAGGUGCAGCAGGUGAAGGAUAGAACAGAGGAGCUAAAGGCGCUUUGGGAGGCAGAUAUAGCUAAAUGCAUUAGAUUGGAGCGAGUACUGGCAGGACUGAGUUUAAAGGAAAGGAGGUUGGAAUGGAUACUUUAUACUAUUAGGACCAACUUGUAGGGCUCCUACUAAUAAAUCUAUGAAUUGCUGCAAGGGGUUCUGAUUCGGUUCCCUAUCUUCUGUAUCUGGUUCUCGCUGCGUUCUUCUCCUUGGCAACAUUUUCUGUUUAAUAUAACAGUGUAUUACUAUAACAUUAUCACUCUUGAUGCACAUUUAUUAAUAUGUAUCAUACUAGUACAUCUUACAUUUCAUAGCACUAGCUAUUUACAUAUCCUGUAUUAAUCUUAAAAAUUGGGAUUUACAAAAACUAUAAACUUUUACUACUAUAUAUAUAUACUAGAUAUGUCCCG
rnacentral:lncRNA from 1 species